AUAGUGGUAGUUUAAAAAAAACAAUGAACUGUGGAUUCAUAAAUUCAUAUUAUGACCUCUACC
rnacentral:tRNA from 1 species